AGAGACGAUAGCGAACAAGUACCGUGAGGGAAAGAUGAAAAGAACUUUGAAAAGAGAGUCAAACAGUACGUGAAAUUGUUGAAAGGGAAACGAUUGAAGCCAGUCGUACCGACGGGAAUUCAACUUUUUACGUGCUUGACGUGGGUGUUCGCGGCCUUCGUCGCUUUUUUUAUGUACUUUUGUGGUUCUUUUUUCCUUUUCUUGGUCAAUAUCGAUUUUGGUCGUCAUAUAAUGAUUGGAUAUGCAAACUACGAUAAGGGAUGUAGAUGUAUAUUAC
rnacentral:rRNA from 1 species